UAAAAGAAAUUUUCAUAAAGGACGGAAUUAGUACCAGUAUUUUUCUAAAAAUUUGAAAAUUUUGGGGGGUGGUUUAUCCUUGUCAGAGGACCUGUCUUUUAACGAUACACCACGAAAUAUCUUACUUGAGUUAGUGGAGUAUGUAUACCAUCAUUAUUAGGUAAUUUUUAUAGAAUAAAUUACUGAAUAACGAUUAUUAAGGUUAAAUAUUUAAAACCAGGGGGCACCUAAGCCUUAGUUCAAGAGGGGUUACAAAAUAUUUAAUGCUAUACGGAUGAGUAACUGAAAUUGUGACUUGGAAGGAGAUUUUGAUGGUUUUCUAUUUUAAUAAGCUAUUUGAAUAUAGCCUCAAAAGCAGGUACACCCCCCCCGCCACCCACAAAA
rnacentral:rRNA from 1 species